rnacentral:misc_RNA from 1 species
UCGUGGGGGCAACCCCAUCGAGAUACCACCCCUUGUCUUUUGAGCACCGCCCGUUUCCUCGGCAGGUUCGCCUGCCAAUGGGGACCACAACCAACCUUUUAUUAGAAGUCCACGUCUUAUAAACAAAAAAUCA